rnacentral:rRNA from 1 species
UACGGGGGGGAGCAAGCGUUGUUCGGAUUUACUGGGCGUAAAGGGCGCGUAGGCGGCCACUGCAAGUCAGUUGUGAAAUCUCCGGGCUUAACCCGGAAAGGUCAACUGAUACUGCAGGGCUAGAGUGCAGAAGGGGCAACUGGAAUUCUCGGUGUAGCGGUGAAAUGCGUAGAUAUCGAGAGGAACACCUGCGGCGAAGGCGGGUUGCUGGGCUGACACUGACGCUGAUGUGCGAAAGCUAGGGGAGCGAACGGG